GUAGGAGUGGUAACCAGAUUAAAUCGGGUAUGUUUUUUAUCCAGCCGUGUCAAUGCUGCCCCCUAGCCCUAACAGGUUAAAACAUCAAGCCAUGGUGUAAUUCUGCUACUGCAGUUACAGCACAGGUUGGCUUUUUAUUUGAGGAUUAGAUUGUUAUUGUUACAACUGUUUAUAAGGAAAAUACAGACACAUUUUAUAUGUUCAAAUCAUGUUGGAAAUCAAUGAAAGCAUAUUUUGUUGUUGUUGCAAUAUACAACUGGGAAGAGUCCAAGGACAAUUGUAGAGGGUGAAACCAAAUCUGGUAAAUCAAAUCAAAUGUAUUUAUAUAGCCCUUCUUACAUCAGCUGAUAUCUCAAAAUGCUUUACAGAAACCCAGCCUAAAACCCCAAACAGCAAGCAAUGUAGGUGUAGAAGCACGGUGGCUAGGAAAAACUCCCUAGAAAGGCAGGAACCUAGGAAGAAACCUAGAGAGGAACCAGGUUAUGAGGGGUGGCCAGUCCUCUUCUGGCUGUGCCGGGUGGAGAUUAUAACAGAACAUGGCAAAGAUGUUCAAAUGUUCAUAAAUGACCAGCAUGGUCAAAUAAUAAUAAUCACAUUGGUUGUAGAGGGUGCAACAGGUCAGCACCUCAGGAAUAAAUGUCAGUUGGCUUUUCAUAGCCGAUCAUUGAGAGUAUCUAUACCACUCCUGCUGUCUCUAGAGAGUUGAAAACAGAAGGUCUAGGACAGGUAGCACGUCUGGUGAACAGGUCAGGGUUCCAUAGCCGCAGGCACAACAGUUGAAACUGGAGCAGCAGCACGGCCAGGUGGACUGGGGACAGCAAGGAGUCAUCAUGCCAGGUAGUCCUGAGGCAUGGACCUAGGGCUCAGGUCCUCUGAGAGAGAGAAAGAAAGAAAGAAAGAGAGAAUUAGAGAGAGUAUACUUAACCUGUUGGGGAUAGGGGGCAGUAUUUGCACGGCCGGAUAAAAAACGUACCCAAUUUAAUCUGGUUACUACUCCUGCCCAGUAACUAGAAUAUGCAUAUAAAACACCCU
rnacentral:lncRNA from 1 species